rnacentral:rRNA from 1 species
CCUACGGGCGGUAGCAGUGAGGAAUAUUGGUCAAUGGGCGGGAGCCUGAACCAGCCAAGCCGCGUGAGGGAAGAAGGUACAGCGUAUCGUAAACCUCUUUUGUCAGGGAACAAAGGCGGGGACUAGUCCCCGGAUGAGGGUACCUGAAGAAAAAGCAUCGGCUAACUCCGUGCCAGCAGCCGCGGUAAUACGGAGGAUGCGAGCGUUAUCCGGAUUUAUUGGGUUUACAGGGUGAGCAGGCGGCCUGUUAAGUCAGAGGGAAAAGCCCGGGGCUAAACCCCGGCGAGCCGUUGAAACUGGCGGGCUGGAGUUGGAGAGAAGUACGCGGAAUGCGCGGUGUAGCGGUGAAAUGCUUAGAUAUCGCGCAGAACCCCGAUUGCGAAGGCAGCGUACCGGCUCCACACUGACGCUGAGGCACGAAAGCGUGGGUAUCGAACAGGAUUAGAUACCCGAGUAGUC